GCCUGCGUUGCCGCACUCCUCGCGCACCACCGCUGCUAUUGCUCUCUCUCUCUUUGGAUCUGACCUCUCUCUCUCGAAAUUCUACAGAAAAAGCCCUAGACUUCAACAAUGUCACUAGCGCUAGUAGAGAGGAGAGAUGCGACGUAAGGAAGUUUUUAAUUCCCUCAAGUUGCAGGCUAAACUGGAGACACAAAGCUUUGGGCUGAGCCGUCACUGUAACCUAAAGCGUCUUGCUGAUGAGGUCGAUCCGCACUAGGGUUAGCCUUAGACAUACCGUCACCGGUUGUCAGAUUGCAGAUCUCGCAUCCGAAACUGCAGUAAAGAUUACUCAAGAUGGUCAUCCCCGUUAUGCCGUGAUAGGAGGUCUAUUCUUUGAGCAGAACAGUUUCCAAUGACAGAGGUCUUCAGCUACUGCCCUUUUGUGAUUGCUUCAAACUGAGAGAAAAGGGCUGGUGGAAUUAAAGCCAUGGGUGUCAGAAGAAUUGCUCUUUUCCAUACCCGUUCGCAUAUUUUGAACAAGGAGCCAUUUGAUCGUACUAUUUACAAAAAUAUGGCUCUUUUCAUCAGUUCUUGCUGGUUUUAUUUUACCCAAUUUGUCUUCUUUCUGGUUAAAUUCACCGCCCGGCAUGUUUUUAGAAUUAAAAUGGAAGAGGGCUCUGAAGAAGUAAUUGAGGAUUACUCUGUUUCAUUACAGCCAGUGCCUGAACCAAAUGAGAUGGAGGAGAGAGAUUUCAAUGGCUUUGGUGUUUUGGGGAAUGAUAAACAAACAUCGUGCAUACCCCAAAAAAAAUCACAAAACCGAAAUAAUUAUCUUGCCACGGCAUAAUGGGGAUGACCAACUUGAGUCAUCUUUACUGCAGUUUCGGAUGCGAGAUCUGCAAGCUGAUGACCGGUGACGGUAUGUCUAAGGCUAACCCUAGCGCGGAUCGCCUCAUCAGCAAGACGCUUUAGGUUAUAGUGGCGGCUCAGCCCAAAGCUUUGUGUCUCCAGUUUAGCCUGCAACUUGAGGGAAUUAAAAACUUCCUUACGUCGCAUCUCUCCUCUCUACUAGCGCUAGUGACAUUGUUGAAGUCUAGGGCUUUUUCUGGAGAAUUUAGAGAGAGAGAGAGGUCAGAUCCAAAGAGAGAGAGAGCAAUAGUAGCGGUGGUGUGCGAGGAGUGCGGCAACGCUGACGGUGGUGCUCGAGGGAUGACUGCGUUGUUGAAAGGUCUGUGAGAGCAUCGGUGGCGGUGGGCUCGGUGUUGAUGCGCGUGAAGAGAGAGAGAGAGUGUGUGUGAGGGGCUGCACAAAAACAGCUCUGAUUAAGCAUUUGUACCGGAAUGGUCUGAUUUCUAAGGAUGCCUAUCGAAUGGUGACUUCGGAAUCAGAGCAACAUUGUCACUGCAGUUUGAUGGAGCUGAAAUGUAAUAGCAAACAAGCAAUUGGCCCAUAUGAAGUUAAGUGCAAAUGUAAGCUUCCAACACCCUUGAAGCUAUGUGCAAAUGAGAAAAAUAAAGAGAGACAAUAUUAGGGUUGCGCUAAGUUCCUAAAUAAAGAAUGUAACUUAUUUCAGUGGGCCGACAAAGAGGGUGAUUGUAGCAAUAGAAAUCAAGUUUUACAAAGUGAAGGCAUUCUUGAAGAUAAAAGGGCAAUGAAAAUCAGAAGCUUGAAAAAAGAAUUGAAAGCAGCAGAGCAUAAAGUAAUCAUUUGGAAAAUGAGUGUAUUGUUUUUACUUAUAAUUGGUGUACUCGGCAUUAUAUUUAAAAACAUGCCAUGUAGUUGCAAAAUGCACUGAGAUAUGAAUCUAUAUACUUUCAUGAUUGUUAAACAAUGUAGUAGAAGGUUCAGAUUGAAGUCAUAUUAUUAGUAAA